ensembl:Mt_tRNA
GCUUUUGUAGUUGAAAUACAGCGAUGGUUUUUCGUAUCAUUGGUUAUGGUUAGAGUCCAUAUGAAAGCA